GCCCACAAAAUCGCCUAGAAAAACGCCGAUACGUGUCAUUAUGUUACGUUGCUCUCCACAGCUUUGCGCCUCUCCCCCACGGUUUUCUCGUGCCCUCCACCGUAAACUGCAGUCCAAGUGAUCCCAGCCGUCCGAUCGAGGAUCAGUGCCAUCUUAACCCCACCAUACAAACGGCCGUGGUGUGGAGAUAUAACGGAGAUCAGCACCGUCCAUCCGGCAUC
rnacentral:lncRNA from 1 species